CCCUUAGAUGUUCUGGGCUGCACCCGUGCUACACUGGCAGGUUCAGCGAGCUUCAUGCCCUGAUCUGAAAGGAAUGGGAAAUCUUUUCAAAACCUGCCGUGCUUGGGAUAGAUGUUUGCAAUUAUUCAUCUUCAACGAGGAUUGCCUUGUAAGCGCACGUCAUCAGCGUGCAUUGAAUACGACCCUGUAUUCUGUACACACCGCCCGGCGCUCCUACCGAUUGAAGUUUUCGGUGAGUUGACAGGAGGAUUUUUUUGAAACUGGUUCGCCAGUGGAUUUUAGAUCCAAAUGCCAACGAAUCGAUGGCUUUAGAGGAAGGAGAAGUCGUAACA
rnacentral:rRNA from 1 species